rnacentral:lncRNA from 1 species
GAUAUAAUCUGAAUCUGAAGAGCUUCACAAGACCCCACCCAAACAUGGCCUUUAUAUUUGAGAAUGCCUGAUUGCAAGGUAUAUGGUCCAGUUAGGUUUUAUGUUCUUCAAGGCAAACAAUUGCUUAAUUCUUCGAUAUGUAACAUGAAAUCCUGAGUGACCCCCAAUUGGACUGUCAUGUAAUGCAGAUAUAAUCUGAAUCUGAAGAGCUUCACAAGACCCCACCCAAACAUGGCCUUUAUAUUUGAGAAUGCCUGAUUGCAAGGUAUAUGGUCCGGUUAGGUUUUAUGUUCUUCAAGGCAAACAAUUGCUUAAUUCUUCGAUAUGUGACAUGAAAUCCUGAGUGACUCCCAAUUGGACUAUCAUGUAAUGCAGAUAUAAUCUAAAUCUGAAGAGCUUCACAAUACCCCACCCAAACAUGGCCUUUAUAUAUGAGAAUGCCUGAUUGCAAGGUAUAAGGUCCGGUGUUACCUGUGGUAGUAGCCAGGGUA